rnacentral:rRNA from 1 species
GACGAACGUUGGCGGCGUGCUUAACACAUGCAAGUCGAACGGAAAGGCCCUGCUUUUGUGGGGUGCUCGAGUGGCGAACGGGUGAGUAACACGUGAGUAACCUGCCCUUGACUUUGGGAUAACUUCAGGAAACUGGGGCUAAUACCGGAUAGGAGCUCCUGCUGCAUGGUGGGGGUUGGAAAGUUUCGGCGGUUGGGGAUGGACUCGCGGCUUAUCAGCUUGUUGGUGGGGUAGUGGCUUACCAAGGCUUUGACGGGUAGCCGGCCUGAGAGGGUGACCGGCCACAUUGGGACUGAGAUACGGCCCAGACUCCUACGGGAGGCAGCAGUGGGGAAUAUUGCACAAUGGGCGGAAGCCUGAUGCAGCAACGCCGCGUGCGGGAUGACGGCCUUCGGGUUGUAAACCGCUUUCGCCUGUGACGAAGCGUGAGUGACGGUAAUGGGUAAAGAAGCACCGGCUAACUACGUGCCAGCAGCCGCGGUGAUACGUAGGGUGCGAGCGUUGUCCGGAUUUAUUGGGCGUAAAGGGCUCGUAGGUGGUUGAUCGCGUCGGAAGUGUAAUCUUGGGGCUUAACCCUGAGCGUGCUUUCGAUACGGGUUGACUUGAGGAAGGUAGGGGAGAAUGGAAUUCCUGGUGGAGCGGUGGAAUGCGCAGAUAUCAGGAGGAACACCAGUGGCGAAGGCGGUUCUCUGGGCCUUUCCUGACGCUGAGGAGCGAAAGCGUGGGGAGCGAACAGGCUUAGAUACCCUGGUAGUCCACGCUGUAAACGGUGGGUACUAGGUGUGGGGUCCAUUCCACGGGUUCCGUGCCGUAGCUAACGCUUUAAGUACCCCGCCUGGGGAGUACGGCCGCAAGGCUAAAACUCAAAGGAAUUGACGGGGCCCCGCACAAGCGGCGGAGCAUACGGAUUAAUUCGAUGCAACGCGUAGAACCUUACCUGGGUUUGACAUGGAUCGGGAGUGCUCAGAGAUGGGUGUGCCUCUUUUGGGGUCGGUUCACAGGUGGUGCAUGGCUGUCGUCAGCUCGUGUCGUGAGAUGUUGGGUUAAGUCCCGCAACGAGCGCAACCCUUGUUCACUGUUGCCAGCACGUUAUGGUGGGGACUCAGUGGAGACCGCCGGGGUCAACUCGGAGGAAGGUGGGGAUGACGUCAAGUCAUCAUGCUCCUUAUGUCCAGGGCUUCACGCAUGCUACAAUGGCUGGUACAGAGAGUGGCGAGCCUGUGAGGGUGAGCGAAUCUCGGAAAGCCGGUCUCAGUUCGGAUUGGGGUCUGCAACUCGACCUCAUGAAGUCGGAGUCGCUAGUAAUCGCAGAUCAGCAACGCUGCGGUGAAUACGUUCCCGGGGCU